UCAGAAAUAGCCUCCUGAAAUUCCUAAAAUUGGAAUGAUACAGAGAAGAUUAGCAUGGUCUCUGCACAAGGAUGACAUGGAAAUUUGUGAAGUGUUCCAUAUUUUU